GACGAACGCUGGCGGCGUGCUUAACACAUGCCAGUCGUACGGUAAGGCCCUUUCGGGGGUACACGAGUGGCGAACGGGUGAGUAACACGUGAGUAACCUGCCCACAACUUUGGGAUAACGCUAGGAAACUGGUGCUAAUACUGGAUAUGUGCUCCUGCUGCAUGGUGGGGGUUGGAAAGCUCCGGCGGUUGUGGAUGGACUCGCGGCCUAUCAGCUUGUUGGUGGGGUAGUGGCCUACCAAGGCGGCGACGGGUAGCCGGCCUGAGAGGGUGACCGGCCACAUUGGGACUGAGAUACGGCCCAGACUCCUACGGGAGGCAGCAGUGGGGAAGAUUGCACAAUGGGCGCAAGCCUGAUGCAGCAACGCCGCGUGCGGGAUGACGGCCUUCGGGUUGUAAACCGCUUUCAGCAGGGACGAAGCUUUUUGUGACGGUACCUGCAGAAGAAGCACCGGCUAACUACGUG
rnacentral:rRNA from 1 species